UACGAAGGGGGCUAGCGUUGCUCGGAAUCACUGGGCGUAAAGGGCGUGCAGGCGGUUGGUUAAGUCCAGGGUGAAAGCUCCCGGCUCAACUGGGAGAGGUCCUUGGAUACUGGCCGACUUGAGGGAGGCAGAGGAGAGUGGAAUUCCCGGUGUAGUGGUGAUAUGCGUAGAUAUCAGGAGGAAUACCGGUGGCGAAGGCGGCAUCCUGGACCGACAUUGACGCUGAACGGCGAAAGCUAGGGGAGCAAACGGG
rnacentral:rRNA from 1 species